AUUGAACGCUGGCGGCAUGCCUUACACAUGCAAGUCGAACGGUAACAGGUCUUCGGAUGCUGACGAGUGGCGAACGGGUGCGUAAUACAUCGGAACGUGCCCGAUCGUGGGGGAUAACGGAGCGAAAGCUUUGCUAAUACCGCAUACGAUCUACGGAUGAAAGCAGGGGACCGCAAGGCCUUGCGCGGGCGGAGCGGCCGAUGGCAGAUUAGGUAGUUGGUGGGAUAAAAGCUUACCAAGCCGACGAUCUGUAGCUGGUCUGAGAGGACGACCAGCCACACUGGGACUGAGACACGGCCCAGACUCCUACGGGAGGCAGCAGUGGGGAAUUUUGGACAAUGGGCGAAAGCCUGAUCCAGCCAUGCCGCGUGCAGGAUGAAGGCCUUCGGGUUGUAAACUGCUUUUGUACGGAACGAAAAGACUCGUUCUAAUAAAGAGGGUCCAUGACGGUACCGUAAGAAUAAGCACCGGCUAACUACGUG
rnacentral:rRNA from 1 species